ACCAGCGUUUUAAACAUCCAGUUUUACUACUUUCGUCUAAAUCAAAUGUUUGUACGGGGCAAAAACAAAUGCGUAUUUUAGUACGAGCUCGUACCAAAGAGUUUCACCCCAAUAUUUAUUACAUUAAUAUUAUUAGGAUCAGUUCCACAAGGUUCCGAGAGAUUGAGAAAUUUUUACAACUAAUAAAAAACGAAGGAAACAAGUGAAAUGAAAUGAAGUUGAUUAAUUUGGAAAAAAUGGCAUGAAAUGAGAUGAUAUGGGAUGAAAUAUAAUCUCAGAAAAUGGGGGUUAUUUACUGUGACUUUUUCAGUCGACUUUUUGGAGGAUCCCGAGAAGCUACGUCCAGCGGCUUUGUUUCAUUUUCCCACCUUUGUGUACUUUCACAGAUAUUAAACAUUUAAUAAACCACCGUUAUUACACAUUUAAAUCUAAAGAAACAACAUUAAACAGUCAAAAUAAAACAA